ensembl:snRNA LOC120096773 U7 small nuclear RNA
AGCUAUUAAAGCUCUUUUAAAAAUUUUCUAGCAGGUGUUCAGACUUAGGUUGGAAAACCCAA